AGUGAACGCUGGCGGUAGGCCUAACACAUGCAAGUCGAACGGCAGCACAGUAAGAGCUUGCUCUUACGGGUGGCGAGUGGCGGACGGGUGAGGAAUACAUCGGAAUCUACUUUUUCGUGGGGGAUAACGUAGGGAAACUUACGCUAAUACCGCAUACGACCUACGGGUGAAAGCAGGGGAUCUUCGGACCUUGCGCGAUUGAAUGAGCCGAUGUCGGAUUAGCUAGUUGGCGGGGUAAAGGCCCACCAAGGCGACGAUCCGUAGCUGGUCUGAGAGGAUGAUCAGCCACACUGGAACUGAGACACGGUCCAGACUCCUACGGGAGGCAGCAGUGGGGAAUAUUGGACAAUGGGCGCAAGCCUGAUCCAGCCAUACCGCGUGGGUGAAGAAGGCCUUCGGGUUGUAAAGCCCUUUUGUUGGGAAAGAAAAGCAGCAGGUUAAUACCCCGCUGUGCUGACGGUACCCAAAGAAUAAGCACCGGCUAAAUUCGU
rnacentral:rRNA from 1 species